UACAGAGGGGGCAAGCGUUGUUCGGAAUUACUGGGCGUAAAGGGUGCGUAGGCGGGUCUUUAAGUCAGGGGUGAAAUCCUGGAGCUCAACUCCAGAACUGCCUUUGAUACUGAGGAUCUUGAGUACGGGAGAGGUGAGUGGAACUGCGAGUGUAGAGGUGAAAUUCGUAGAUAUUCGCAAGAACACCAGUGGCGAAGGCGGCUCACUGGCCCGUAACUGACGCUGAGGCACGAAAGCGUGGGGAGCAAACAGG
rnacentral:rRNA from 1 species